rnacentral:misc_RNA from 1 species
CAUCAAUCGCAUCGGCGCUCGAAUAUUUACAGGGAGAUCCUCGCCCGAGCCAAGAGCCGGAUGAGAUAAUUGAAGUCGUUAACAAAUAUGGCGAAGCGCUUCAGAGAUUCUUGCUAUUCCUCCUGGCAAUUUUCCAUUUUCUGAAAUCGCUGGUUGUAGCUGUUCUUCGAGGUGCGAAGAAAUUUCUUUGGUGGCCUGAAUCAACAAACUCUAAUCAGAGAAGGAACUUCGAAGAGAGUGGAAAGAAAAUUGCCCAAAGCCUUGAACUUCGUUCUCCCAAUUCAUUCAGCCACCCGAUCCAAGUGCUGGAUCAGGAAGCUGUUUUGACUAGAUUCUACUGCAAUUCUGACAAAGAUGGCGAUGGAAAACUCUCCCGACAAGAGCUUAAGGAAUGCUUAAGAUCAUUAUGUGACUUGCACAAGUACCAUGAGCAUGACCAGGUCGACAAGUUCUUAGAGAUCGAUGGGGAUGGGAAGAUCGAAAUUUCCCAAAUUGUGAAAGAAUCGGAGAACGUACCGUUUCUUCAAGCUGCAAAGAGAGCUAUCCUCGAGAAAGCACUCGAUUGCAUGAUAGUGGAAGGUAGGAGUGUUCAGAUCAAGGAUCAUGUUGUUAUAAAUAUAAAUCAACCAGACAAAGUUUUGCCUUCAACGUCAAAGGGAAAAAACUUCAACAUUUUAAAGGCAAGAGGCCCAUGCGUGGGUGUAUUAGGUCAGGCAGUUCCAUUCAUUGCUGUGGCACGCUCAUCUGCCUCACCCUCGGUACUAUAUGUUAUUGUGGUUGCUACUGCAGUGGCGUUUCUAUUCCUCGGACUUAGCUUCUGGUUUGAAGGCAGAAAGAAUGAGAGUGCCGCGAGAAUCACAGGCGCAAUAGGAGCUCUUACCACAGCUGCCGUGUUUUAUCUCAUGAUAAGCAUGGUCAUCCUCGGUGCGAAUUAGUUCUCAUCCUCGGCGUGCAUUAGUUCUUUCUUGUUAACUAUGUUUCGAUUUUCCAAAAUUAGGAUUUAAAUCGAUGGGAAAUUCACGUGCCUUGGAUCUAUCAAUAUAUGAUGGACAGGCAAGAAAAAUCCUAAAUCGAUUAUGUUGAAAAUAUUAUUCUAUACAUCACAAAAUUUCAGAUUCCUUAGAGGAACGAAAAAAUGAGUGAUGAAUAAUAGACCGAGUGCACUAUAAUUUACCUAUGUUUUUUUUUUUU